UGGGACAGUGGCGCUCAGCAUCGUUCCCUUCAUCCUGUAACAACCGGUAGGCAUUUGUUUACAUCGUUUAAAUAAUGUUUUGUUGUAAUUUCAGUCCGUGGAGAUGAAAAGCCAGACCAACAGCCAGCAGCUGUAUCACACCCGCCACCGUGCGUCUCCAUGAGAAUGCGUCAAAGUGGUGGACGCUUUUAUCUCCGAAACAGGAUCAACAUCAAAGCAUCAACCGGCGGCAGAAUUUAAAAAAGAACUUACAUAUUACCCAGGCUGGAUGGACGCAAGCCUUUAAAGUAUGAAUGCAAAAGUAUUGAAAACCUCGCCCGGAUUGGAACUUUAGAGAACUAAAAAAAAAAACAUGAAAUUGGGAGAGUCUUCCAAACACGCGGAUGUGUGCCUUUGAUGGAAACGGUUUAUUGCGCGGAUUCUAAUUACACCUCGUAAAAUGGUACCCGUUUUUCGGUCGCGAUGUCGAGAUGCCGCCGAGAUAUGAAGCGUGCGAAUUUGCGAAUUGCGAUGGCGAGAAAUCACCCGAUCGCGCACGAAUCGCGCAGCUCAUUCGCCUCCUCGAACACGAACCAAUGUCCCAAUGUCCAGCGUCAUCUAUCGGCGAGAUUUAGUACUACUCAGAACCGCUGCAUCUUUUACUGUCAACCGAAGCUCUACGCAAGGUGGAUGCAAUCCGAGAUCAGUAAGUAUUGCCUGAUUUUGUAUCUCUGAUGUUUGUUCAAUAAAAUGAAUAAAUACAAAAAUGCACUUGCCUAUAAGCAAGAAAGAAAAA